GCACUGCUGAGGAGUCCCAUACUAGGACGAAACGGCUGUCUAGUGC
rfam:Schistosoma margrebowiei strain Zambia genome assembly, scaffold: SMRZ_scaffold0001114